GGAGUAGAAUUCUGCAUUUUGCCAGAUCCUGCUGGGAAACAGCUGUGUUUAUACUUUGCACAUCUGUCAGAGCAGGCUGCUGAGAUCUCCAGAUCUGAGGACUGUCCCAGCUGAUUUAGCUCCUGGACACCUUUAGCUUCUGUCAUGGAUUCCUGCUUAUGAAUAGAUAAAACAGUGUACUGAAAGCUGCUGGGCAAAACUGUUGUGCUGAAUCCUUGGCAAGUUUCAGAAAGACAAACGUGAUGUUGUCAGACCAUCACCCAGUACAGCUGCAGUCACUCAACAGGCCAAAAGCAAGAUCCUGAUCUUGGGCAUCUCAGAGCACCCUGUAUGGCUGCAAGUAUCUGCCACUUCUAAGCAGAGGCCCUGUAUGACUCCAAAGGUUUCCUGAGCUCAAGCAGUUAUGGAUGCCAGCUGGAGCUCUGAAGAGGAGCUGGACAUGAUGGCCCUGGGGAGUUCCUUCCAUCUCAGGAUAAUCUGAUUGCUGAACUGCUACUUACAGCUUUUCACAGCCUUCCUACUUGUUCUUGUUCAGUGCGUCUGUUUGAAAGUGUCUUGAAGAUGAAGUUAUUUCCUGGAGGAAUUCUGAAGGCAACAAGAAGCAUUUUCUCAAGGAGGGAAAAAAAAAAAACCAAACCCUGGAGUGACUUGUGCCUAAAUCCUGGAGCAGAACAGAGUGGCAGCCAGGGCUGCUUACCAGGACAGCAUUUUUGCCUUUUUGUCUCUCUGGGGAUUCUCAAGUAGGAAAGAAAACUGUGGUGUUACUGCUGGGAGGAUUUUUCCUGAUCCUGAGGGAAUCCAUUCUGGAAGCUUGAUCCAAAUGACAGCUGCCUCCAAUUACCACUCUACACAUUGCUGUGGGUAUUUGGUUACAAUCAAGACUGGAGGCUUGAUGACAGCUAGAAGUACUAGCAAGGAAACCUCAGAUGGUUCAGGCUACAGCAGCAUGGGUGCAGGACAACCUGGAUGUAAGUCAGCAGAACAUCUACAGGGCUAAUUAGGACCAUGACCUUGAAAAGGCAUUUUCCAGUACUGUUCACUUAGGUUGAAGCUAGAGACAGAGGAAGGUAUGCACUUCCCAUUAUGAGUGCUACUCCUAAGUUUUCCAACAGGUGCCAAGUAUGGUGGCUUUGAAAUGUAUUUUGGAGAGCUAACAAAGUGGCUAAAGCAGAUGAUUCAUAACAGGCUGUACUAAGACCAAAAAAACCCCACCAACUGGAGUGGUCAUUAAUUUGUGAGGUGAGCAGGCAGCACUCACCAAGCAAGUGGUGCACUGCCUGUUUCCCAGCCUGCCUUCAAACAUCUGCGCGCCUCAGAAGCAAGUGUAAUGUUAUUCUCCCAAGGUGACCCCCUGCUCUGCACUGCAGAAGAAUGAUGGUGAUGUUACAGGCUGGAAUGGAGUAACAGAAGGUGAGUUGUUUGAAGGUGAAAUCCCAUACUUAUCUACUUCUGCCGUGCUUUCUUUGUGAGGACCUGCAAACCCACGGGGUGGUCUUUCUCUUUUCAUUCCUCUGCCUGUAUGCUUGGCUGAACCCCAGUGACUGAGCUGCAAGAAAGACCUUACAAUCUGCUGGCAUGGAGGAGCAUCCAGAGAGCCUGGGAGACACCCAAUGUCCCCAGGCACUGAUGUACCCUCUCUAAUACCCACAGAUGAUUCAAGCAAGGCUCAUCUUUCCCCCAACUUCUGAAAUAGCCAUGGGAGCCCUUCAUGGCAAGCUGCCCAUGGCAGGAACCAGUCAGAACCUGCUUCUCCCUGAUGGAAGCCAUCAAGGAAGAGAUGAACAGGAGACUUUGUAAAUGUCUUUAUAACAUGGAAAGCUUUGGAUUUAUGGUGAUAAAUAAUGUUUUCCGCAGUAUGCAUCAACCUGAUUAAUUUCUUUCUAAAUUUAUAGCUUGUGUGUCCUUUAAUCUAUCUUGUGCCAUAGCAACAAUAACAAGCUGAUUGCUGUACCAUUUCAAUCAGCAUCAGUGGCAGUGAGCAGAUGUAUCACUGCCUCAACAAUAGCAUAGGUUUCGUUUCUGAAAAACAUUACUUAGGGCUUUUACUCCAGUUGCAGACGUUAUCUUUUUGUUUUCUGAACUUCUGGUGAAGGAGAACUAACAGUGCUAUAUAAUGCUUUGUGUUUAAUGGAUCUUGUGGUAAGAAGGAUUGAAAAGCAAUACAAGCAGAAAGG
rnacentral:lncRNA from 7 species